GAGAAAAGGAUUGUGCACUAUUGUGAGCUUUGAAAUUAAAAAUAAUAUACUGAUAGUCGAAGUUAGGAAAUUUAAUCUAUAUUGGAUUGAAAGGUUUGGAAUAAUUGGAAUACUAAAUUUCUAUUGUCAAAGUAGAUUUCAAAAGAAACGAAACCAUGCUGAACAAGUAUUUUCGAUUACAGCGCAGAUUGUAAUUUCUUGUGUUACCGUGAAAAGAGAAGAUAAAAUUGCAGCCUACACUGAAUUCUUUAGCAAUCGCUUAACGAAAGUGUUCGCUUUUUUCGUACGAACACCGACUGUUAUGAAAAUGCAGUACUUUUGGGAUGCCUGGGCACCCAUACAUCGAGCUUCUUUGUGAAUCCAAGCUUCUUCAAAUGGUUAAUAACGGUUUGAUGACUUAUCCCCAGCUCUUGGCCGAUGCUACGGCUGCUACUAUGCCGGUCUUUCUCGGCUAAUUCAGCGAUUUUGUCGCAAUUUUCGACGACAGGCCUUCCGGAGCGUGGCGCAUCUUCGACGACCUCUACACCAGAACGAAAAC